rfam:Stegodyphus mimosarum contig123001, whole genome shotgun sequence.
GCUUUCGUGGUGUAGUGGUCAGCACGCUCGAUUUGUAACCGAGAGGUCCGUGGUUCGAUUCCCGGCGAAGGCG